rnacentral:rRNA from 1 species
GGGUUGUGAGGUUAAGCGACUAAGCGUACACGGUGGAUGCCCUGGCAGUCAGAGGCGAUGAAGGGCGUGCUAAUCUGCGAUAAGCGCCGGUAAGGUGAUAUGAACCGUUAUAACCGGCGAUACCCGAAUGGGGAAACCCAGUGUGACUCGUCACACUAUCAUUAACUGAAUCCAUAGGUUAAUGAGGCGAACCGGGGGAACUGAAACAUCUAAGUACCCCGAGGAAAAGAAAUCAACCGAGAUUCCCCCAGUAGCGGCGAGCGAACGGGGAGGAGCCCAGAGCCUGAAUCAGCAUGUGUGUUAGUGGAAGCGUCUGGAAAGGCGCGCGAUACAGGGUGACAGCCCCGUACACAAAAGCGCAUGUGCUGUGAGCUCGAUGAGUAGGGCGGGACACGUGGUAUCCUGUCUGAAUAUGGGGGGACCAUCCUCCAAGGCUAAAUACUCCUGACUGACCGAUAGUGAACCAGUACCGUGAGGGAAAGGCGAAAAGAACCCCGGCGAGGGGAGUGAAAAAGAACCUGAAACCGUGUACGUACAAGCAGUGGGAGCACCCUUUGGGUGUGACUGCGUACCUUUUGUAUAAUGGGUCAGCGACUUAUAUUCUGUAGCAAGGUUAACCGAAUAGGGGAGCCGGAGGGAAACCGAGUCUUAACCGGGCGUUAAGUUGCAGGGUAUAGACCCGAAACCCGGUGAUCUAGCCAUGGGCAGGUUGAAGGUUGGGUAACACUAACUGGAGGACCGAACCGACUAAUGUUGAAAAAUUAGCGGAUGACCUGUGGCUGGGGGUGAAAGGCCAAUCAAACCGGGAGAUAGCUGGUUCUCCCCGAAAGCUAUUUAGGUAGCGCCUCGUGAAUUCAUCUCCGGGGGUAGAGCACUGUUUCGGCUAGGGGGCCAUCCCGGCUUACCAACCCGAUGCAAACUGCGAAUACCGGAGAAUGUUAUCACGGGAGACACACGGCGGGUGCUAACGUCCGUCGUGAAGAGGGAAACAACCCAGACCGCCAGCUAAGGUCCCAAAGUCAUGGUUAAGUGGGAAACGAUGUGGGAAGGCCCAGACAGCCAGGAUGUUGGCUUAGAAGCAGCCAUCAUUUAAAGAAAGCGUAAUAGCUCACUGGUCGAGUCGGCCUGCGCGGAAGAUGUAACGGGGCUAAACCAUGCACCGAAGCUGCGGCAGCGACACUGUGUGUUGUUGGGUAGGGGAGCGUUCUGUAAGCCUGCGAAGGUGGCCUGUGAGGGUUGCUGGAGGUAUCAGAAGUGCGAAUGCUGACAUAAGUAACGAUAAAGCGGGUGAAAAGCCCGCUCGCCGGAAGACCAAGGGUUCCUGUCCAACGUUAAUCGGGGCAGGGUGAGUCGACCCCUAAGGCGAGGCCGAAAGGCGUAGUCGAUGGGAAACGGGUUAAUAUUCCCGUACUUGGUGUUACUGCGAAGGGGGGACGGAGAAGGCUAUGUUGGCCGGGCGACGGUUGUCCCGGUUUAAG